AAGACACAAACUCAAAGAAAGCACAACUGAGGAGAUUGAGCUGGAAGAUGUUGAGUGUUAGCCAAGGCUGGGCCUGACUGCAUUCCUACCUCAAGAGGAAACCAUUCUCCAACAAAAAGAGCAAGCACAGCUAUUAUACCCAUUGUGUGUGGUCCUGUUGCAGCCCGCUCCUAACAGGACAGUGGGAGAUUAACAACAUUGACUGCAUGGAGUUGAGGACUGUGGAUGGGACAAAGCUAGUAUUAGGACUCGCGCUAAGUUCAAGGAGAAGAGUGAUUGAGGCUUUGAACCAGGAGCUUCGCUUGGCUGCAGCAUCAGGGCCGUGCUGACACAUAACCAAUGGCAGUCGGAGGAACCAGGCUCUGGGCCAGGACAGUUUCCAGUGCUGU
rnacentral:lncRNA from 1 species